rnacentral:rRNA from 1 species
GUAAAGUGGCGCACGGGCGAGUAACACGUGACUAACCUACCCUGGAGUGGGGGAUAACUGAGGGAAACCUUAGCUAAUACCGCAUAACACCUACGGGUCAAAGGAGCAAUUCGCUUUGGGAGGGGGUCGCGGCCGAUUAGUUAGUUGGCGGGGUAAUGGCCCACCAAGACAGUGAUCGGUAUCCGGCCUGAGAGGGCGCACGGACACACUGGAACUGAAACACGGUCCAGACUCCUACGGGAGGCAGCAGUGGGGAAUUUUGCGCAAUGGGGGAAACCCUGACGCAGCAACGCCGCGUGGAGGAUGAAGUACUUCGGUACGUAAACUCCUUUCGAUCGGGACGAUAAUGACGGUACCGGAAGAAGAAGCCCCGGCUAACUUCGUGCCAGCAGCCGCGGUAAUACGAGGGGGGCGAGCGUUGUUCGGAAUUAUUGGGCGUAAAGGGUGCGUAGGCGGUUUGGUAAGUCUCUUGUGAAAUCUAUGGGCUCAACUCAUAGACUGCAAGGGAAACUGCCGGGCUUGAGCGUGGGAGAGGUGAGUGGAAUUUCCGGUGUAGCGGUGAAAUGCGUAGAUAUCGGAAGGAACACCUGUGGCGAAAGCGGCUCACUGGACCACAACUGACGCUGAUGCACGAAAGCUAGGGGAGCAAACAGGAUUAGAUACCCUGGUAGUCCUAGCCCUAAACGAUGACUGCUUGGUGUGACGGGUACCCAAUCCCGCCGUGCCGUAGCUAACGCGUUAAGCAAUCCGCCUGGGGAGUACGGUCGCAAGGCUGAAACUCAGAGGAAUUGACGGGGGCCCGCACAAGCGGUGGAGCAUGUGGUUUAAUUCGACGCAACGCGAAGAAC